rnacentral:rRNA from 1 species
AGAGUUUGAUCCUGGCUCAGGACGAACGCUGGCGGCGUGCUUAACACAUGCAAGUCGAACGGGAUUUAGUAGACAGAAGCUUCGGUGGAAGAUUACUAAUGAGAGUGGCGAACGGGUGAGUAACGCGUGAGCAACCUGCCUAUGACAGUGGGAUAGCCUCGGGAAACCGGGAUUAAUACCGCAUAAAAUCGUAGAAACACAUGUUUUAACGGUCAAAGAUUUAUCGGUCAUAGAUGGGCUCGCGUCUGAUUAGCUAGUUGGUGAGAUAACAGCCCACCAAGGCGACGAUCAGUAGCCGGUCUGAGAGGAUGAACGGCCACAUUGGAACUGAGACACGGUCCAAACUCCUACGGGAGGCAGCAGUGGGGAAUAUUGCACAAUGGGGGAAACCCUGAUGCAGCGACGCCGCGUGAACGAAGAAGGUAUUCGUAUCGUAAAGUUCUGUCCUAUGGGAAGAUAAUGACAGUACCAUAGAAGAAAGCUCCGGCUAAAUACGUGCCAGCAGCCGCGGUAAUACGUAUGGAGCGAGCGUUGUCCGGAAUUAUUGGGCGUAAAGGGUACGCAGGCGGUUUAAUAAGUCGAAUGUUAAAGAUCGGGGCUCAACCCCGUAAAGCAUUGGAAACUGAUAAACUUGAGUAGUGGAGAGGAAAGUGGAAUUCCUAGUGUAGUGGUGAAAUACGUAGAUAUUAGGAGGAAUACCAGUAGCGAAGGCGACUUUCUGGACACAAACUGACGCUGAGGUACGAAAGCGUGGGGAGCAAACAGGAUUAGAUACCCUGGUAGUCCACGCCGUAAAC